rnacentral:rRNA from 1 species
UAGAGUUUGAUCAUGGCUCAGGAUGAACGCUGGCGGCGUGCUUAACACAUGCAAGUCGAACGAUGAAGCCCAGCUUGCUGGGUGGAUUAGUGGCGAACGGGUGAGUAACACGUGAGUAACCUGCCCCCGACUCUGGGAUAAGCCUGGGAAACUGGGUCUAAUACCGGAUAUGACCUCCUACCGCAUGGUGGGUGGUGGAAAGAUUUAUCGGUGGGGGAUGGACUCGCGGCCUAUCAGCUUGUUGGUGAGGUAAUGGCUCACCAAGGCGACGACGGGUAGCCGGCCUGAGAGGGUGACCGGCCACACUGGGACUGAGACACGGCCCAGACUCCUACGGGAGGCAGCAGUGGGGAAUAUUGCACAAUGGGCGAAAGCCUGAUGCAGCGACGCCGCGUGAGGGAUGACGGCCUUCGGGUUGUAAACCUCUUUCAGUAGGGAAGAAGCGAAAGUGACGGUACCUGCAGAAGAAGCGCCGGCUAACUACGUGCCAGCAGCCGCGGUAAU